UGGUGAUGGAUGAGCAGGUUUCAAAUGGUUUCAGCACAGCCUGAAAUCGGUAGCUGAUAAUUGGAGCCCUUGGUUUCCCCCAAGCACAACUUAGUGUUCUGCCAGCAGUGGAGGGAGAUGGUUCAAGCUGUGCUGUGGUCCAAGGAGUGAACCCUGGUGCUGCCAGCCUCUCCGUGCCCUACUGAUGGGUGCAAUUUUAAUCAGUCUGCUCGGCUGGACACUGCUUCUGGUAUGGAGAGCUGAUACAAGCACAGAGCAGUGCAGCUAUACUCCUUGGAAAGCACUUGUUUAUCCAGGCCAGUCCUCUUGAAAGAAAAAAGCCACAAGGUGCCGUGCACAGUCAGCAGGGCACCCGUCUGCUGAACCUGCUGGAGCUGGAUGAUGCAUGAGAGUUCAAGCCACUACCACUUCUCUGUGAAAGGCUGGAGAAUUCAGCAUGGUUUGGGGACACCUUCAAGCAACAACAUUUAGUCCAAGCCCCACGUAAGGGGCCUGAAGACCUUUCACAGAUCUAAGCCACACAGACCUCAGCGAUUAAGAUCUUCUAAGCCUGGAGAAUGUGCACGUUUCAGUUCCGCUGGCUCAAAUCUAACCAGCGUUAUGCUUUGCAGAUGUAAUCCCAAAAUAUUAACACUGGGCUGUGGGGGAUCA